CCGAGAGUAAAAAUAAUGGGUAGAGCAGAAUAUAUUGUGCUUCAUCUGAAUUAAAAGUCAUAAGAACAACCAGAAGUCAAGAUAUUUUAUUUUGUGAUUCAGAAUCAUUCUGAAAAAUUUCAAUGCCCAAACUGAAUAUAUACAUAACUUCUUUGGGGUUUUAAGAAGAACAUUCAAUAUUUCAGUUUACUUCCAUGUAGAAUAGACAUUAAGGUACUAUAAGCCUUUCAGGACACAUCUAAUAUUUUAUGCAGGCCAAGUAAAUCUGACCCCUUUUUCUGUUUCUUCAGGGGUUUACUCCUACCCCAGAUUUGAAGAAUGUAUUGUCAUGUUUUCCUGAACUUAAAUAGGAGAAUUGGGAUGUUAAAAAUUUAGAAUGAAACUAAUGUACACAGCAAAUUUUUUCCAUAUUAACAUAUCAUGUAUCGCCUGAAUGAUAAUUUUAUUUUUUCAAUAAUAGGAUAAGAGAAAAUUCAGGGACUUCAUUCAAAUUACCAACUUUCAAAAACUGACAGUUUUGAAUCUUCAUCUUAGCAAAGGACUUCCAGUCAGGAUGGUGGCUUAGAGAAAGCUAAUGUUCAGAUCUCAGGAAACCCUUCCCUACAGAACUCAAACUAUAUGCUCAUAAGGCACCGAAAUUCAAAACAAACAACAGCAUAGACCUCGGGAAUCCUCCUCCUGGAUCUGCACCUGGAUCAAAAGAUCCAUGGUUGCUCCCCUCCUGUGAGCUGACUUUGAGGGAUCCCACCAACUGUUCAGAAGUUCGGCUGAAGUCAAUAUUUGCCUUAUUGAGUUCCCAUUUAUUUUAUAUCAGGAGUGUAUCUAGAUGGGAGGAAGAUUAAUGUUUGCAAAUCACUAGAAGACUCUUUGAUAAAAAGCAGAAGAAAAGUAUAAAAACUACCGUGGAAACAACAAAAGUAUGACCUGCCAUUUCAUCUACUUUCUUUUGAAUGGGGGAAAUGAUGAUCAGAGAAAGAAAGUAAC
rnacentral:lncRNA from 1 species